AUUUGUAGAGAAUCGGCUGGUGUUGCCCCUAGGGAGGACUUGCCAUAGGGAGAGGGUUUGUCCCUCUCCGAACAGCCCCAGCUCCUGAGUGUUUUGAAUGUCACCCUCCAUUCAUGUGGAAACCAAGCUUGGGCAGUGCAGUCAGACCUCAGUUAAAAUCUGGGCCCUGCCAGUUACUGCUUUAAGUAAUUAAAGUUUCACCUCAGUUUCCCUAUUGGCAAGACAGGGGCCAUAACACGACACAUAGG
rnacentral:lncRNA from 10 species